UGCAAGCAUGGGAAAAAAAUAAUACGGUACCAGCCGUCAAAGCAUUGUUGGAGUUGCACAGCAGAUAGGGUGGCCCCAAAAAAUUCUUGCACCAGGGCUAUUUCUGAUUUUAUCCGUCACUGCGUUGGGGUGGAAGGCUUGAUUGCAUGCCAGAGAGUGAGGGGGGAGGUGAUGGCGGCAGGGUCAAGGGGACCCAAAGCAAAUGC